rnacentral:lncRNA from 1 species
UCAGCUAUUCUCUCAUUGCUUUUAAUCAUUUUUAUUUAUCAUCUCUAUCUGUUUGUGUAUAUGCUUACUCAGCUGAUGCAUCAUUAAUGAAGAUUGAUUGAUUUGGAAAGUAAUAGCUAAGACUGAACUCAGCAACCGUUGCAAAGUCGUUACUUUUUUAACCUGAAUAUUGUCUAAUGACGUGGAUGCGUAAAACUGAAAAGUUUCUUGUCGAUCAAGGCUUAAAUCAGUUAGAAGAAUCUCUCUUGGAUUCUUAUUGUGUUUUCUUAUUGUAUGCAUUGUGGCCUUGUCGGUGGACUUGUUAUAUUGUUGAAUAUUUGCAUUAUUACCUUCAUUCAUUCUGGAUUGACUGAUUUACUUUUUUCGCCCAAGCAUUACUCCAGAAGAUUUUAUUUCUUCUGCUUGGAAGGGACAGGGUAGUGGUGGUGGGCUGCAACGAAACAGAGAGGUUAAAGUUGAUCAAGAACUUAAUGAAACUUUAAAAAAACUGUUGUUCCAUGAUAAUACAAAAUGUUUCACUUCUUAAUGGCUUGAUUAAGGCACAUACUGCUUUCUACCAUGCUUGUUGAUGUGUCUUGUGGAUACACCAUUCAUUAACAGUUUGUCCAACAGUUUCCUUUUUUUAAUCAAAAUAUACAUUUUCUUUUGAACAUUAUAAGAAUUCUGUUGACAGACAAAUAUGCCAUGGAUUUCAGUCUAACUUUGUUGGUAGCUCUUUGAUUUUCAGCUUCUGCUCUGAGAGUUAUGUAUGGCGCCCUAAAUUCACCUGGUCAGCUAACAAAAUGGACAGCCAAUGGUGGUGAUCCCUGUGGAGAGUCCUGGAAAGGCAUUACUUGCUCAGGCAAUAAUAGAGUUACUGAAAUGUGGGUUUCUGUCUUCCUUAUUGCCCUUUUUUUUGGAUAAGUGGUUUCUGUUUUCCUUCUUUAUCUUCUUUAUCAUGUUUUUACAACCUCUUGGAAUUGUUUGCUUGGGGAUUUCUGAUGGCUACUUACUUUUCGUUUUCCUUCAGCAAGUUAUCAGGUCUUCAACUCUCUGGUUCACUGGGUUACCAGCUAGCAAGUCUUACAUCUGUGACUAAUUUGUAAGAUAAAUGGCCUUCAAUAAUGUUCUCGUAGAUGUCUCUUUGAUGUAUAUCAAAUCCUUAUACAUGUUUAUUCUUUGUGGAUUCUGCAGUGACAUAAGCAAUAACAACGAUUUAUAUCAAAUCCUUACACAUGUUUAUUCUUUGUGGAUUUUGCAGUGACAUAAGCAAUAACAAUUUGGGAAACCAGUUACCUUAUCAGCUGCCUCCGAAUGUGCAAAGAUUGUAUGUCUUAUAGUAUACUAUCGUCAUUCCAGGCUGUUUUUUCCACUUAUCUUUCUCAAACGUGCCGUGCAAUGCAGGAAUCUUGCUGGCAAUGGUUUUAAUGGUGGCCUGCCAUAUUCAAUUUCACAGAUGACUUCCCUCCGAUACUUGUAUGUAAAAUGUUUGAAUUUGGGUGCGAUUUAUUUCCAGAAGUAAGCUUUUUAUCUGAGGUUAAGCUUGUCAAUGACUUUCUGCAAUAUAUGCAUCUGGCUGUAGAAAUGUCAGUCAUAAUCAAAUUCAAGGGCAAGUGACUGUUGCAUUCGACUCUCUGUCUUCUCUCAACACAUUGUAAGGCCUAUCUUCUUAUCAUGCCAUUUCUUGAGUGUUUUAACAUUACCAUUUUGUGGUCUUAUAUGAGGUGUCGUGGGUAAAACAUGCUAUUCUUAGCUCAUUAACAUAAGCUCUUUUUUCCCAUCUGAGUUAUUUUUCCUAGGGAUAGAAAGUCAAUAUCAUGAAAAUAGUAUCUGAUCUUUGUUCUGAUCUGUAAAGUUAUGUGGUUGUAUGGAUUGAGCUGAGUAAUGUGGCUGAAUACAUUUUGGUGUAUUAUUAAGCCAAGUAUUAGAAACCCAAUAUGAAUAGCUAAACAUUCUUUGUUGCAUAGUUUUGAUUGAUUAGUCUUUAUGCUUCAGGGAUUUCUCAUUUAAUGCGAUGACAGAUAAUCUUCCUCAAAGUUUCAAGGCACUGACUAGUAUGAACAAAAUGUGAGAUAAUAUUUUUCUGCUUCAUCCUUGUAGACAAUUGGUUCAGUGCUUCAAUGAUUGAAGUUUACAUGUUGAAUUAUGCAGGUAUUUGCAGAACAACCAGUUCACAGGAACUAUUGAUGUCCUAGCCAAUCUUCCUCUUGACGAUCUGUGAGUUUUUGAGUCUGUGCUUCUUUUUGGAUAUUAUCUCUGAUGUUUUAUCUUAUUUAUAGAGUUUCAGUUAAAAGCAUCAGUUGACAUUCAUGCUUAUUCCUUUAUUCUUUAGGAAUGUCGAAAACAACCGUUUUACGGGCUGGGUUCCUGAUCAGUUGAAAGGGUUCGUGAAGUAAGUAUCUAAUGUUGGAGUAAUUGGUUUUAUUCUUCAAAGUUAUUUCGAAAGUAAUUUCUGGAUUAUUCAGGCCUUUAUCACUUUUGUAACAGAUCAAAUGGUAAUUCGUGGAACUCAGGACCUGCACCCCCUCCUCCACCCGGCACACCCCCUGCAAGCAGGCCCGAUCGGCACCACAAAUCUGGAGGCAACAAUAGUCCUUCUGGUAGUGGUGGCAGUGGUGAUGGUGGUGGUAAAUCAGGGAUAGGGGGUGGAGCCAUUGCAGGCAUAGUGAUAUCCAUUCUAGUUGUUGGGGCAAUUGUAGCAUUUUUUGUUAUCAAGAAGAGAUCGAGACGGUCAUCGACAGACAUCGAAAAACAUGAUAAUCAGCCAUUUGCUCCUCUUGCUUCAGAGGAAGUACAAGGUACUCUUAUUAGACCCUGUUAUGGUCUCUGUGAUUGUUAUUUAAUCAUGAAACAUAACAAUCAUAGUAUCAUUAGCCUCUUUCAUCUACUUGAGAAGGUGUACCUGCUGCAUUAAAAGAACACUUUCUGUAGUGAAUUUGGGGAAUCAACCUUAACAUUGUGCUUGAUCACUACCUAUUUAGCGUUCAUAGAUUUUAAGUGGUGUAUUACUAAUAGUUGUUCAAAACUUAGCCAGCUACUGCUGUUGAUAUAGAAGAAAAAAACCCACACAGGAACAAACUUUACCAUCAAAAUGUAAAACUGCACAGAUGUGGCUGGUCCUAUCUUCUGAGGAAACAAAACUUUGUAGUUAGUGAAAAAUUCCAAGAACUUAAUUGUAGAAUCCAAACUGAUGUUUAGAUUUUGAUUUUACCUGUUGAAGCUGACAGUGGGAUAAAAAGAAAACUUCAGUUUUAUGUUCUCUUUCAGUGGAUCUGUUCCUAUGGUUGUUCUCAAGAUUUAUAAGUCAGCCCCCUUGAUGGUUUGACUUCCUAUGAAACGUACUCUUCAUAAAUCUAGUAGACCUUCAUAGAACAACUAUUGAUUCAAAUGCAACUCUCAGCAAAUUGAAGAAUCAUAUUCAUGUGCAUAGCUGGAAAAAUUGUUUUUCCCAUUCUAACCUAUUGUGUGUCAACAACCAAAUUCAUCUCUUUGCAAAUUCUAAUUCUUUGCGUUUCUCAGUUUUAUCAGUCAGUUGGUGGGUUCAUAAUUAUGCCUUUUAAGCCGCAUCUCAUUAAUCUGAAUCUGGUCAUGCAUUUGCUUGUUUCUAAUACUUACAGUAUAGAGUUUCCUUUGCUGUCUGGAUUUUUGGUUCAUUGCCCUUUUUUGGCUGCAGAGAUGAAAACUAAUCAAGCUUCUUCUGCACCAAGUGUGAAAACAUUUGAAGCUCCUGCUGUAGUAAAUCUAAGACCUCCACCUAUUGAGCGUCACAAGUCAUUUGAUGAAGAUGAGAUAGCAGCAAAACCAAUUGUCCCACCCAAGAAAGUCAAUACAGCUAAAAUAAAUGCUAGACAAUAUUCAAUUGCGGACCUACAGAUGGCUACUGAUAGCUUCAGUGUUGAUAACCUUAUCGGUGAGGGAUCUUUUGGGCGUGUUUAUCGGGCUCAAUUCGAUGAUGGAAAGGUAUAUUUUCUCCCUUAAUUGAUAACCUUAUUGGUGAGGGAUCCUUUGGGCGUGUUUAUCGGGCUCAAUUCGAUGAUGGAAAGGUAUGUUUUCUCCCUUAUGACUGACUACCUAUGAAAAGAAAAUGUUUGUCUUUAAUUGAAUAUGGAUGUCAUAUCAUGAAUUGAUUUUGUGCUGGUAAUGAAGCAAGACAGUUGAAAUGGAAGAUAAAUGUUCGAUAAGAAAAAUACCUAUGAAUAGAAAAAAAAGAGCAGUUUGAUAACCAAAAAAAAAAAAAUUAUUUAGUUGAAGAGUUAUGUUUGCUCAAAAUUUUUGUUUCGAAGAUACUAUCAUCUAUGCCUGUGUAACUGAACCAUCUUCAUAAGUUCCUUUCUAAUUUUGAAAUCCACA